rnacentral:tRNA from 1 species
GGACAAACGGAGUUGGUAGUGCGCUCCACCUGUAAUGGAGAGGUCCCGGGUUCGAUACCCGGACCA